rnacentral:rRNA from 1 species
ACGAACGCUGGCGGCGCGCCUAACACAUGCAAGUCGAACGAGCGAGAGAGAGCUUGCUUUCUCGAGCGAGUGGCGAACGGGUGAGUAACGCGUGAGGAACCUGCCUCAAAGAGGGGGACAACAGUUGGAAACGACUGCUAAUACCGCAUAAGCCCACGGGUCGGCAUCGACCAGAGGGAAAAGGAGCAAUCCGCUUUGAGAUGGCCUCGCGUCCGAUUAGCUAGUUGGUGAGGUAACGGCCCACCAAGGCGACGAUCGGUAGCCGGACUGAGAGGUUGAACGGCCACAUUGGGACUGAGACACGGCCCAGACUCCUACGGGAGGCAGCAGUGGGGAAUAUUGCACAAUGGGGGAAACCCUGAUGCAGCGACGCCGCGUGGAGGAAGAAGGUCUUCGGAUUGUAAACUCCUGUUGUUGAGGAAGAUAAUGACGGUACUCAACAAGGAAGUGACGGCUAACUACGUGCCAGCAGCCGCGGUAAAACGUAGGUCACAAGCGUUGUCCGGAAUUACUGGGUGUAAAGGGAGCGCAGGCGGGAAGACAAGUUGGAAGUGAAAUCCAUGGGCUCAACCCAUGAACUGCUUUCAAAACUGUUUUUCUUGAGUAGUGCAGAGGUAGGCGGAAUUCCCGGUGUAGCGGUGGAAUGCGUAGAUAUCGGGAGGAACACCAGUGGCGAAGGCGGCCUACUGGGCACCAACUGACGCUGAGGCUCGAAAGUGUGGGUAGCAAACAGGAUUAGAUACCCUGGUAGUCCACACCGUAAACGAUGAUUACUAGGUGUUGGAGGAUUGACCCCUUCAGUGCCGCAGUUAACACAAUAAGUAAUCCACCUGGGGAGUACGACCGCAAGGUUGAAACUCAAAGGAAUUGACGGGGGCCCGCACAAGCAGUGGAGUAUGUGGUUUAAUUCGACGCAACGCGAAGAACCUUACCAAGUCUUGACAUCCUGCGACGGUGCUGGAAACAGUAUUUUCCUUCGGGACGCAGAGACAGGUGGUGCAUGGUUGUCGUCAGCUCGUGUCGUGAGAUGUUGGGUUAAGUCCCGCAACGAGCGCAACCCUUAUGGUCAGUUACUACGCAAGAGGACUCUGGCCAGACUGCCGUUGACAAAACGGAGGAAGGUGGGGAUGACGUCAAAUCAUCAUGCCCCUUAUGACCUGGGCUACACACGUGCUACAAUGGCGUAAACAAAGGGAAGCAAAGCCGUGAGGUCGAGCAAAUCUCAAAAAUAACGUCUCAGUUCGGACUGUAGUCUGCAACCCGACUACACGAAGCUGGAAUCGCUAGUAAUCGCAGAUCAGAAUGCUGCGGUGAAUACGUUCCCGGGCCUUGUACACACCGCCCGUCACACCAUGGGAGUUGGGAGCGCCCGAAGCCAGUGAGGUAACCGAAAGGAGCCAGCUGUCGAAGGUGAGACCAAUGACUGGGGUG